UCCCCGGCACAGCCAGCGCCGGAAGCACGGCGACAAGCUCUCUGCGCGUGCGCAACGGACCGCGAGGAUAUGCGUUGUGUGCCGUGCGCUUGCGCACAGGCGAGUGAGGCGUCAGCAUGCUGCGUCAUGUGGGAAAAGAGAUAAUUUUCCUGCUGUAAGAAGUCCCACACCCUCUCUCGCAAGCAGAACAAACAUGGGCGUAACAUAAUGGUGCGUUCCUAUUUGUGUGGGCUGGUAUGCUGAGUCAAGAGAACCAAUGAAGCCUCACCAUGACAAGUACUGGUUACUACUCAAAUGAACACUGUGGUGAAUUACAGGCAUUAUCUACCAUUAAUCAAUGGCAAACAAGAUAAUUUUCUAUGUGCUGUUACAUUGCUAUUCAGUGUGUUAAAUGACAGCUUCAUUAAAGCAGGUUGACUGGCAGUUUUGCAAGUAGUAGUAAUAUUUCCUGUGUGAUUUAAAUAAUGCUAUGGCAAUCUUAGACAAGAGGUAAAUAAAAGUCUUAUCUGGUAA